rnacentral:rRNA from 1 species
CACUUCUAAGGAAGGCAACAGGCGCGCAAAUUACCCAAUCCUGACUCAGGGAGGUAGUGACAAGAAAUAACAAUAAACCGGCUUAUGCCGGUUUAAUUGGAAUGAGUACAAUUUAAACAUCUUAACGAGGAACAAUUGGAGGGCAAGUCUAGUGCCAGCAGCCGCGGUAAUUCCAGCUCCAAUAGCGUAUACUAAAGUUGUUGCAGUUAAAAAGCUCGUAGUUGGAUUUCUGUGGGGACGGAGCGGCCGGCCGCAACUCGCGGUUCGAGCUAGCGCUUUCCCUACAUCCUGCCGCGAACCGUGCUACCAUUAGUUUGGUGGCGCCGGGGAUCGGCUCGAUUACUUUGAGAAAAAUAGAGUGUUCAAAGCAGGCCACAUGCCUUGAAUAAGUUAGCAUGGAAUAAUAACUAAGGACUUCGGUUCUAUUUUGUUGGUGUUCGGGACUGAAGUAAUGAUUGAUAGGGACAGUUGGGGCGGUCUGUAUUCCAAAGCGAGAGGUGAAAUUCUUAGACCUUCGGAAGACAAACAGCUGCGAAAGCGUUCCGCAAGGAUGUUCCCUUUGAUCAAGAACGAAAGUUGGGGGAUCGAAGACGAUCAGAUACCGUCGUAGUCUCAACUAUAAACUAUACCAGCUAGGGAUCGGCCAACGUUAUUCUAUACCGACUUGGUCGGCACCUUAUGAGAAAUCAAAGCAUCUGGGUUCCGGGGGGAGUAUGGUCGCAAGGCUGAAACUUAAAGGAAUUGACGGAAGGGCACCACCAGCCGUGGAGCCUGUGGCUUAAUUUGACUCAACACGGGAAAACUUACCAGGUCCAGACAUAGUAAGGAUUGACAGAUUGAUAGCUCUUUCUUGAUUCUGUGGGUGGUGGUGCAUGGCCGUUCUUAGUUGGUGGAGUGAUUUGUCUGGUUAAUUCCGUUAACGAACGAGACCCCAGCCUGCUAAAUAGCGCGCGUGAGCUUUGCUCGCGGCGAGCUUCUUAGAGGGACUAUGAUGCGCGAUAGCACAUGGAAGUUUGGGGCAAUAACAGGUCUGUGAUGCCCUUAGAUGUUCUGGGCCGCACACGGGCUACACUGGCGCCUGCAACGAGCAUAUCAGCUGGCCCGAGAGGGUCUUGGCUAAUCUUUUGAACCGGCGCCGUGCUUGGGAUUGACCUUUGCAAUUGUUGGUCAUGCAACGAGGAAUGCCUUGUAAACGCGAGUCAUCAGCUCGCAUUGAAUACGUCCCUGCCCUUUGUACACACCGCCCGUCGCUCCUACCGAUGAAUGUUCCGAUGAAAUUUUCGGAGAGCACCUGUGAACUUGGCUCUGCCUUGCGAACGGGAGGCUCAAAGUCACUUAAAUCUGAACAUUUCGAGG